rnacentral:misc_RNA from 1 species
CUCUUCUAUGAAGCUCCCCAAUUGUCUCCUUCUUGCUUAUUCUUAUCGUAAUGCGGUCACCCUUAGGUGUAACCAGUAAUUGAAGACGGAGAGGAUACACCUCCACAGCUAAUUCUGUCUGAGAUAGACCUGAACUGAUUACUUUCCGUGCCAAUGUUGGACCACCUCCAUACCAUGAAUACAACUGGUUCCAAACUUCUUG